CUGGCGGCAUGCUUUACACAUGCAAGUCGAACGGUAACAGGUCUUCGGAUGCUGACGAGUGGCGAACGGGUGAGUAACACAUCGGAACGUGCCUAGUAGUGGGGGAUAACUACUCGAAAGAGUAGCUAAUACCGCAUGAGAUCUAAGGAUGAAAGCAGGGGACCUUCGGGCCUUGCGCUACUAGAGCGGCUGAUGGCAGAUUAGGUAGUUGGUGGGAUAAAAGCUUACCAAGCCGACGAUCUGUAGCUGGUCUGAGAGGACGACCAGCCACACUGGGACUGAGACACGGCCCAGACUCCUACGGGAGGCAGCAGUGGGGAAUUUUGGACAAUGGGCGAAAGCCUGAUCCAGCAAUGCCGCGUGCAGGAUGAA
rnacentral:rRNA from 1 species